UCGAGUUAUACAACUCCCAAACCCAUGUGAACUUACCUGUCGUUGCUUCGGCGGACCGCCCCGGGGCUCACCAGCUCCGGAUCCACGGCGCCCGCCGGGGGCUCGAAAGACUCUUGUUUUUUCUACGCAGACUUCUGAGUGGCAUUUAUUACAAAUAAAUCA
rnacentral:misc_RNA from 1 species